CCUACGGGCGGCAGCAGUGGGGAAUAUUGCACAAUGGGGGAAACCCUGAUGCAGCGACGCCGCGUGAGUGAUGACGGACUUCGGUUCGUAAAGCUCUAUCAGCAGGGAAGAAAAUGACGGUACCUGACGAAGAAGCCACGGCUAACUACGUGCCAGCAGCCGCGGUAAUACGUAGGGGGCGAGCGUUGUCCGGAUUUACUGGGCGUAAAGGGAGCGUAGGCGGAAGCUGAAGUGGGAUGUGAAAUACCAGGGCUUAACCUGGGAACUGCAUUGGAAACUGGACGGCUGGAGUGCAGGAGAGGAGAAUGGAAUUCCUAGUGUAGCGGUGAAAUGCGUAGAUAUUAGGAAGAACACCAGUGGCGAAGGCGAUUUUCUGGACUGUAACUGACGUUGAGGCUCGAAAGCGUGGGGAGCAAACAGGAUUAGAUACCCUAGUAGUC
rnacentral:rRNA from 1 species